GGGAGCGAACCAGAUUCGACGUUGGUGGCUGAAAGCGCACUGCAAGCCGUGGCGCCACAACACGCAAAACUGGCAACGCACAUAGGUGCAAAACCCAACUUCCAACCCCUCCCAAUGGUUGCUUAGGCAACCGGGAUAAGGGUGUAGGGACCAAAAGUUCCCUACCGCUCCUGCGAGAUCGUCUCCUGGCACGAUCUGCAACGAGUGUCAUAAAAAGCCCGGGCGCCCACCGCUUAUGCCGAUAACGCGGUGCCAAGUCCAAUCGGCUAGCGCACAGCAAACCGCGCCCACUGGGGAUGCCGCGCGCGAAGACUAACAGCGGGCUAAGCUUGUAGAUGUGCGCCUUUCGAAACCAGCGGACCCGGGGGGCAGGUCCCCGGCGCUUCCACUC
rnacentral:tmRNA from 1 species